rnacentral:rRNA from 1 species
UACGUAGGGUGCAAGCGUUGUUCGGAAUCAUUGGGCGUAAAGCGCGUGUAGGUGGCUUGUUAAGUCGAAUGUGAAAUCCCUGGGCUCAACCGAGGAAGUGCAUUCGAAACUGGCAAGCUAGAGGACGGCAGAGGAAGGUGGAAUUCCAAGUGUAGAGGUGAAAUUCGUAGAUAUUUGGAGGAACACCGGUGGCGAAGGCGGGUCUCUGGGCCGAUACUGACGCUGAGGAGCGAAAGCGUGGGGAGCGAACAGG